rnacentral:antisense_RNA from 1 species
CACCGACAUCAGCGACUCAUUCUGCGAGCCUUGGCCGACGGCGAGGUAGGCGUUCAUGCCCAGCUCUUUCAUCUGCUGCUCGCCGAUCACCCGGGUGGUGAUGUUCCUGCUGUAGGCGUCCGCCAGCUGGCGCGCCUGCGAGGCCAGAUACGCCGCGUUACAAAUAUUUGGCGGCAUAUUGCCGAGGUCUUUCGC